AUUGAACGCUGGCGGCAUGCUUUACACAUGCAAGUCGAACGGCAGCGCGGAGAAGCUUGCUUCUCUGUCGGCGAGUGGCGAACGGGUGAGUAUAGCAUCGGAACGUGCCAAGUAGUGGGGGAUAACCAAACGAAAGUUUGGCUAAUACCGCGUAAGCUCUAAGGGGGAAAGUAGGGGACCUAAAUAAGGCCUUACGCUAUUUGAUCGGCCGAUGUCGGAUUAGCUAGUUGGUGGGGUAAUGGCUCACCAAGGCAAUGAUCCGUAGCGGGUCUGAGAGGACGAUCCGCCACACUGGGACUGAGACACGGCCCAGACUCCUACGGGAGGCAGCAGUGGGGAAUUUUGGACAAUGGGGGAAACCCUGAUCCAGCCAUGCCGCGUGUAUGAAGAAGGCCUUAGGGUUGUAAAGUACUUUUGUUAGGGAAGAAAAGCUAGUUUUUAAUAAAAAUUAGUGAUGACGGUACCUAAAGAAUAAGCACCGGCUAACUACGUG
rnacentral:rRNA from 1 species